UGGGGAAUAUUGGACAAUGGGCGAAAGCCUGAUCCAGCCAUGCCGCGUGUGUGAAGAAGGCCUUUUGGUUGUAAAGCACUUUAAGCGAGGAGGAGGCUACUUGGAUUAAUACUCUAGGAUAGUGGACGUUACUCGCAGAAUAAGCACCGGCUAACUCUGUGCCAGCAGCCGCGGUAAUACAGAGGGUGCGAGCGUUAAUCGGAUUUACUGGGCGUAAAGCGUGCGUAGGCGGCUUCUUAAGUCGGAUGUGAAAUCCCUGUGCUUAACUUAGGAAUUGCAUUCGAUACUGGGAAGCUAGAGUAUGGGAGAGGAUGGUAGAAUUCCAGGUGUAGCGGUGAAAUGCGUAGAGAUCUGGAGGAAUACCGAUGGCGAAGGCAGCCAUCUGGCCUAAUACUGACGCUGAGGUACGAAAGCAUGGGGAGCAAACAGG
rnacentral:rRNA from 1 species